rnacentral:rRNA from 1 species
GAUGAACGCUGGCGGCGUGCUUAAUACAUGCAAGUCGAACGGAAAGGCCUCUUUCGUGGUCUACUCGCGUGGGGAACGGGCGAGUAAGUCGUAAGUGGCCUGCCUUUCUCUUUGGCAUGACUUCAUUAAACUGAGGCUAAUACCUGAUGGGUGCUCUUUUUGCCCGCUUGGGUUUGUAAUGUUUCGGCGUUUGGGUGUGGAUUCGCGGCUUAUCAGCUUGUUGGUGGGGUAGUGGCUUACCAAGGCCUUGCCGGGGAGCCGGACUGAGAGGGUGACCGGCCACAUUGGGACUGAGAUACGGCCCAGACUCCUACGGGAGGCAGAAGUGGGGAAUAUUGCACAAUGGGUGGAAGCCUGAUGCGGCAACGCCGUGUGCGGGAUGACGGCCUUCGGGUUGUAAACCGCUUUCGCUCAUGACGAAGCUUUGUGUGACGGUAGUGGGUAAAGAAGCACCGGCUAACUACGUG